rnacentral:rRNA from 1 species
UAUGGAGCUUUAGACACCAAGGCAUAUCAUGUUAAACACCCCUAAAUAAAGGACCAAACCAAAUGAAUUAUGCCCCCAUGUCUUUGGUUGGGGCGACCGCGGGGAAAUAAAAAACCCCCACGUGGAAUGGGAGUACUACCUCCUACAACCAAGAGCUGCAGCUCUAAUUAACAGAAUUUCUGACCAAUAAGAUCCGGCAACGCCGAUCAACGGACCGAGUUACCCUA